GGAGCAGUGGCAGAGUGGUUGAUCGCGACGGUCUUGAAAACCGUUGUGCCGAAAGGUACCGGGGGUUCGAAUCCCUCCUGCUCCG
rnacentral:tRNA from 1 species